rnacentral:rRNA from 1 species
GAGGAAUACAUCGGAAUCUACUCUGUCGUGGGGGAGUAACGUAGGGAAACUUACGCUAAUACCGCAUACGACCUACGGUGAAAGCAGGGGAUCUUCGGACCUUGCGCGAUUGAAUGAGCCGAUGUCGGAUUAGCUAGUUGGCGGGGUAAAGGCCCACCAAGGCGACGAUCCGUAGCUGGUCUGAGAGGAUGAUCAGCCACACUGGAACUGAGACACGGUCCAGACUCCUACGGGAGGCAGCAGUC